rnacentral:rRNA from 1 species
GACGAGCCUCACGAACGUUAUUCGGAAUUACUGGGCGUAAAGCGUGCGUAGGUGGUGAGUUAAGUCUGUCGUGAAAGCCCCGGGCUCAACCUGGGAAUGGCGAUGGAUACUGGCUCGCUAGAGUGCGGUAGAGGAGAGUGGAAUUCCCGGUGUAGCAGUGAAAUGCGUAGAGAUCGGGAGGAACAUCAGUUGCGAAGGCGGCUCUCUGGACCAGCACUGACACUGAGGCACGAAAGCGUGGGGAGCAAACAGG